UAAGUCAUUUAAGCACACUAAACAAGGAAAGUUGGAGCAGUAAUUUUGCAGCCAGUGAUCUCUCUGGGAUUUGCUUGAACAAUUAAAAGGAUGGCAGUAAAUACAUCCUUUCUAAACCAUCAAAGGAAAGCAAGAUGGUGGUAGUAGUUUGGGUUUGCUGUCCUCUUUCCUUUCUUUAGGGGAUUUAGCCAAGAGACAGACGGGGUUCCAUUCCUGAUCUUUUCCCAGCUUUCCUGAAGCAUGAGGUGAAGAAAGCACAGCCUUGGUGGGAUGGUGAGAAGAAGGAGGAGCCCCCAGCCCUGGCCUGGGAGGAGCCUCUGAUGUGUAACUACUGGAGGACCCACUGCCAAAAUCAAGAUGUAAAUCAAGAGAGCAGAUACAUGGGAAUGACUACUUGGAGCUCAGAGUUCCAGUUACCUGUGGUCAACUGAAGUUCAGAAGCAGCUGACCUUCCCGAAAAAUCUGCAGAAGUAGCCUGAUGCUAUGUCCCGAUGCCUGCGCCAUUCACCUCACUUCAUCUCAUCACGUGGGCAUUUUAUCGUCCCACAUCAUCACGAGAAGAAGGGAGAGUACAGUACAAUAAGGUAU